GAACUUGCAUUUGUUUCCUUAAGAACACGACCUCGAGAUGAUAUCCUUGGUAGAUGUGAACGAUCAAAGGAUGCCAGCCCCAUUAACAGGUGGUCUCCAAGCCGAAGAAGAAGUAGGUCUCCCAUUAGAAGGAGAUCCCGUUCCCCAUUGAGACGCAGCAGGUCUCCUAGAAGAAGAAGCAGGUCUCCUCGAAGAAGGUAAAUAUGAAGGACAAAUGCUAUCUUCUCCAUUCCAUAACCUUUGGUUCUUUUUGAAACUUAAGUUAGCUGCAUUGGCAGGUUUUUCUACGGACCAUUUUUUUCCUCAAACAUUUUAGUUGUGAUCACAUAGCUUCCUUCUACCAACAUGGGAUACUGCACACAGUUUUCUUUUUAAUUUUUAUUUUUAUGUGCACUGGUGUUUUGCUUGCAUGUAUAUUUGCAUAGGGUGUCGGGUCCCCUGGAACUGGAAUUAUUAGGUAUGAGCUGCCAUGUAGGUGCUGGAAAUUGCCCUGAUCCUCUGGAAGAACAGCCAGUGAUCUUAACUGCUGAGCCAUUUCUCCAGCCCAACACAGUUUUCUUUAGUGUAGUUUCCUUUGAAAUCUAUACAAAUCUGUUGCAGUUAAAAAAAAAAAAAAGCG
rnacentral:lncRNA from 1 species